ensembl:lncRNA
CAACAACAUAUCUCCACCCAGGGCGGAAGAAUAAUAGCUUAAGAGGUAGAAAUGACAUACUAAGUAUCUUAUAUAGUCGGUUUACUUGGUAAUUCACUAAAGUUGCGGUAGUUAAUACUUAUUGCAUUACCUAAUUACGGCUUUUUAGUUGUUACAACUCUUUAAAUCCAGAGCUUUGUCUGGUCUGUCUUGCCGUGGUUUUCUUUUGAGAUCCUUCUCCACCUCAUCCUACCAGGGCGUGUUCACAGACAGUGUGUCAGGUUGUGGUGGCGGAAGUAGGACUCUCAACACAACUCAUCAACGAUGAACCUACCUGGGAAGGUGCAGGCGAUUGAACACAGGACGAAACAAUCAGAGACACGGAAGACAAUCAGUAUCACACGGGAAAGCCAACAUGGCAAGAAGUGAAGAAAGGCAGGAAACUACAAAAUGAAACAGGAACCAAACCGCCACCGUGACACAGAGGAGUACAAAGGGUGGACAAAUAUACUGAAUCUGGGUGUAUGUGUGGUCAAAGAACAACAUAUUCCAGUUAGACAAUUGAAUUUCCCAGAAACUAUCUUAAUCCCAAGUGGAGAUUAAAAAUCGAACCUGUGAUUAAAUUGAAGCGGCACGGAGUGUUAAUUGAGACAAACACCUGUAAUCAUUGCCAUGGAGCGGCUUGCUUCCCUUGAAAUAAAGGACUUGACCUUGAAUCAAUGAGAUAUUUUAAUCCUUUUAUAAAUGGUAAAUAAAGAGGGUGGUAUCAAAAAGUAUGUAAGAGACUUUACUUUUUCGCCUGAAAUAAAACACAGAUACUGUUACAUCACAUUGGCCCACAUGUUUAAUGUGGGAUGCAAAUGUCUAAACUGUCAGAUAAAACACACCGUACGAAUGUUUCACACAGAUGACCACCGCACUGACCUCUAAAUACCUAGUUGGACACAUGAUUCAACCAAAAGGACUUGAUCUUAACACAAUUUUAAUUUUAAAGUUCAUAAUGAUCAUCUGGAUUAGGAAGACAUCCACACGGUCACCUAUACUCACUGUGUAAAAGCAUGUCAAUUAUUUAUUUUUUACGCACAAAAUCAUAUGUCAGGUAAAGAUUCUUUAUAAAUAAUACUGUUUUACUGAGUCCUUUAUGGUUGAGUAAAUAUUGAAAUAGAUUUUUUUUCAUUCUAGUCACAAAGUUCUGUGUUGUUUUUCACUUUCAGUGAGAGACAACACGUAAGGAGAAGUCUACUCUGUCUGUUCACGCCUGCACAUUUCAAAACCCCUACAGACUUUCUGUCUUUGAUUAAGCUGCCAAGAGGCUGAACGCAAACUAUUGGGUAAUGCCUGCAGGGAGAGCAGAAGAGCGAUACGACGAUACGUCUUCUUCUCUCUCAAGUCUUAAGGCUUCUCAAUGUUUUUCUUUCUGCCUUUUAAUUUCCCAUUCAAUAUCUUAGAAAUGAAUAUCAGUGUUUCUACCCUCACCUCAUACCAAGGCAGCUUUUUGGAUCCCAGCAGCUGCUUUGGAUGUUAACAAAUAUAAGCUUAGUUUUAUAUUGUAGAUCCAGCUGAAUUUUGUUGGAUUUCUCACGUGUUUGCGGUAUGCUGGUAAUGAGCAAAGCGUGAUCCAAUUAUCGGUGCAGCAAUGUAAACAGCUAUGUUGGCAGGAAGAAGACAGCACUCAAAAUGCCUCUCUCUGUCUAACACAAACACACACAGAUAAACACCGUACAGCAUGGCAGCACUGCAACACUACACAGUGUAUCUUAUUUACGCUUUUAAUGAAUCUUAGUGAGUUUAGUCAGUUUUGGUACCUGCUGUUUGUUUUCUUUGUUCCAAAUUAGUAGAUAGUGUAUUGCAAUAGUGUUGAACCUGGACCAUGGGUCAGUUUAAUUGCACACUUUGGCAUCUGUAAGCAAAAUACAUUUUGCACGCGUUGAUUACGUGCAAUGACAUUUUGAGGUGACAGGAGUUUUUGAUAGGAAUUAAGUUGGUAAAACAAGGGCAUGGCCCUUUUUACACCAAAAAACUGACUAAAUGAUGCAUGUAGGCACUAGCGCAGAGUUUGCAUCAUUGCUUUUGCAUUCAUUCUCUGACCGGUGUUCAUUAGUACAACAUUUAGAAAUGUGAAUCGAGGCUGAAUCUGUGUGCUACUGUGUUUUAGCAGGAGAGGAGAUGUGCUCUGAUGAGCACCUAAAGCUAUUCAGUAACCUACCAUUUCCGUCAUAAUUACUUUUGUGUGCUGGAGAGAGAACUGCUGAGAUGUGACCUGUGCUGAGCUGUUGGACCAAUGCGACGAGAUGACAAUCUCAGCGUGAUCAGAGAAACUAGCCACUCUUACACCUAACUGACGAUAUUUAAUUGAAUACACAUUUUGAAAAUGACUUGCGGGGUUUAAGUCAGAGUUGCAUGCAGCUGCAUUUGCACUUACUAGAGUUGGCUUGAACGUGUGCCAACAACUUAAAUCCAUAGUCCUGAAUCCCAGAUUUAUUCAGUUUGCUAUCAUACAGGACAGAGAAAACCAGCAAUUCUUCGCACUGAAGAAGCUAUUGUUCAGCCUACUUAGACAUCAUUUCUCUUAGAGCUCAAAAGUUGGGGACGGAGUUAAGACAUAACACAGAGCACUUUGUCAAUCUAACUGUAAUGGCAUUCAUGAUCAGUAACUUUCAGGUGGGCAGGUGGGGACAUGAAAUUGUCAAAUUAGCUUGUUACUAUAAACGGUGAUGAACUAUUAAAUUCUUCAUGCCGUACAGAACAUUUUUAUCUAAAUUGACAGAAACAUUUAAACAAGGAUAGGCAGAUGAAUAUUUUCACAGAUGAGCAACUGACUAAACAGUGAUUUUGUUUUUCUCUGAUUCAUGGACAUGAAUGAACUGUCAGCUGGCCAAAAGGAGUGCGAGUUAUCCAGCACAGUGACACACAUUGGGCUUGAAUUCAGCCCAUUGGUUCCAGUUAUUCAACACUAAAGCAGUAAGUAAGUAAAACCUUGAAAUGAGAAAUGAUGGUUAGUUGGAUGCCUGCUUAUAAGAAGACCCAUGUAGAAAGGUCAUAUAUCUUGUCCUAAUAUACAUAUAUUCAAUGACUUAUUAAUGUCGGGCUUUUAGUUGCUGAAAUAUACCCAGUCUUUUCACAUACCACUGAGAAUCGUGCAAAUCAAAUGUUUUCUUGAACAACGAAUCCCUGUAUUCUUCCGCGCUUAAAGAAAAACACUGAGUGCAAGUCUGUAGUCUGAUUAAAGACUGAACAAAUGACAUCUAACCUUCAAAAGCACUGUUUUCUUAUCUUCAUGUAACUACAGUUUUAGGAUAACCAACAAAUGUUUUCAUUAUGCAUUUGGGGAUUUAUAUAAAAUGAUGAAAAGCAUUCUCACGUGUGUCAUGCUUCUCGAGGCCUAUUCACAGUUGCACCUGUAAAUAUUAAUCAAUAAGAACACGGAUAAAUUCCCACAGAAAUCUUGAUGAAAAAAAAAAGGAUUGGCUUAGUUAUUGACUGACAGUUUGAGUUUGUUCUGUAUAUUCUCCCAAUCUCACAAUAGCUCAAUGUUUCUUAUUAGUCUAGUUUUUGGUUUAAUACUAAAUUCAUGUUUUAAUUAAUAUGUAUAGACAAGCAAGCUAUUUCCAAGCAAACUACCGGUGAGGCUAUUUUGUUAGAAGUAAGUAAAAAUGAA